UACAGAGGUCUCAAGCGUUGUUCGGAAUCACUGGGCGUAAAGGGUGCGUAGGCGGGUCUUUAAGUCAGGGGUGAAAUCCUGGAGCUCAACUCCAGAACUGCCUUUGAUACUGAGGAUCUUGAGUUCGGGAGAGGUGAGUGGAACUGCGAGUGUAGAGGUGAAAUUCGUAGAUAUUCGCAAGAACACCAGUGGCGAAGGCGGCUUACUGGCCCGAUACUGACGCUGAGGCACGAAAGCUAGGGGAGCAAACAGG
rnacentral:rRNA from 1 species